AUUUUUGUGGAUAACUGAUGCAUUUUAUUUUUCAGGAUUCUCUGAUGAAUAAAAAAGUUUGUCUGCUUCACGCAUGCAUGUGAUGGUCAGAGAUGGACCUGCAGAUGUGGAUGCAGUGAUUCUUACCUGCACAGUGUUCAGAGCAGCUCUUAUUCGGCGGAUUUAAAGCCUCUGUGUGUCCAGCUGUCACUCAUCCCUCAGCUCUUAAAGCAGCCGCGCUGGACCGGACCGGACCGAAGCGGAUUGGACCAGCGGCCAGUGACGUCACGGGUAUUUAAGGAAGGCUCAGCUGCUGGUUCAGGCUCUCUCUGAGGGAUCGACGCGGUUCAGGCGUCCAGUCGCCGAGUGUUUUAAGAGUUAUUUUCUGGGUAUUCAUCCAGUCACGCAGCAGCGCUAUAAUUUCUGCAUUAUGUCACGUGGAGGCGUCAGUCUCCAGUGUAAUCCACCAACAAUACCUUCUAACCGCAUAAGAGCAUAAAUCUGUGCUUUGAAACAGUUAUUUUAGUUUUAUUACAGAUUUAUUAAUAUUUAUUAAUAUUACAGAUUUAUUAAUAUUUAACAGAUUUAAAAUAUUGCUUAGUAGGUUUAAUUUAUUUUAUUUCAGUUUAUAAUUUUGGUGCUUCAACUUAAAGCUACACGAUGUAACUUUUUUUUUGUUGCUGUUCAAAAUGAACAAAAUAGAAAUUGCGGGAAAUUGCUUACAUACGUCACUUGCCCGUGCGUGUCUCGUCAUAUCCGUAAAUAGAGAAAAGUAGCUCCGGCAGCUUGAGAUGCUGUUUUUGUUACCAAAAGACUAAAGACGGUUCUGCAACGCAAUAUGGCGGAAUAAAUCCUGCCUUCUAAGCAAAAGAGCCAAUCGCUGAUUGAUAAAAUCAUUGCGUCACUGCAGCUGCCGUUAGAAGCUCCGAUUCCCAUGGAAACCUGAGAUUCACGUUUAUGACUGCAUAUGCGCAUUGGCUCGUCUACCCUUGAAAAAUAGGCUUUUUUAACGCUAUUUGAGCAUAAGACACAACAUUUAUGGGACUUGGUCUUGGAUGCCUGAAAUAGCUGCCCGGAGGUGUCGCAAAUAUAAACUUUCCUUAAGGGACUUUGUUGUUACUCAACAGGUAAGGUAUUUUAUUGAACAGAUAAAUUGCCCUAUGUAGCUCUCUAACAGAGUUAAUUGUGAAUAUCAUUUCAUUAUGGUUGUUGAAACGCUGAAUUGGAAUUUAUUCUCAAGAAAGUACCGUGUCUAUUAAUGGAUAAAGCUACUAUAAAGUGUUCAGUUAAUGUCUUUCCAUGUAAACUUUGGCCCAGGAGUGAAUGUUUAUAGCGGUAGCAGAUAAUCAUAUCCAUCCGCACAGUCACGCAGAGCCGAAGCAUACCCAGUUCUUCCGCGAAAUGCAUGCAGUUUUGUUUUUAACCGCUAGAGGGCCAAAAGUUACAUCGUGUACUUGUUUCAGUUUGUUGGCAAGCUACUAAAAGGAUUUAAAAAUAGCGUUUCCAUGGUAAAACUGUUUAAUUUCAAAACGGUUUUCACAGAAUUAAUUUUUAAGCUUUUGAAUGAUACCUAAUUUAUGAUGAGUACUAAACUAUGUGAUGGAGGAAAGUGUCCUCUAGCAGGUUAUGAAACUGAGAAAUGGGGUGUGGAGGGAGAAAGAUCUGGAAACAGAAAUGAUGCAGUCGUCUCCUCCUGCACGUACAGUAGCGGUGAGUUGUUUACUUGUAGGUGAGCUGAAAUAACCUGUCAUAAAUCCAGAUCAAAUCAAGCUUCGGAAUCCUGAUGCUCCGUCUCCUCUUUUCCUCGUGAGUCUAUUUGAUCCAGGCGCCUUGAGACAACGAUCCUGGAAAUGACAUCUCAUUGUUGGAAUUCAGCAGCUGGUCGAACAGCCAGGCCAAAGUGGAGAGAGUCGGGAUCACAUGACAGUAUAAAAUCACUGAAGAUGGAGCUAAUGUGUGUAGGGUUUUUUGAAUGUUGUGUAUCUCAUAAUUAUGAAACGUUCAUAUUUUAUAUUCAUAUUACUCUGCACAAUGACAAUAAAAUCUAAUCAGUCUUUAGAAGCUGCUCAUUUGACUUGCUGAAAACGAUAGUUUGACCAUAAUUCUAUUAGCAUUUACUGAUGUCGUUCCUAGACGUGUGCCGAUAUUCGCUAAUGCAAUCACGAUAAUGAAUAUGCACGAUAUUGUUAUCACUUAAAAAAUACCGUAAAUGUAUUACCAGUUAUUAAUUUUUUUUAAUGCAUUUAAGAAUACUUUCCCUAUCAACAGUAUAAAAUGCACAACAUCGCUGUAUUCUGUAAAAGGGACAUGCGCUCAGAUGUAAACAAACCCAACGUGCACGAGAAGCACACGAGAAGCGGAACGAGUGAAGGAGAUGCGCUGAAUGAAAGUGCACGUUCACUCUCUGACAGCAGAGGGCGCUGAUGGAACAGCAGAAAUGCAGCGGUUACCCCGGAAACAAAGCAG